GGCAGUCUGUGGACCAAGUUCAGGUGAAAGGAUCACCCAUCAUGUUGGGCAUCAGAUCAGGCAGGUUCACACACUACCUGAGGAAGCUGGUCUUUGUGACAGACAAGAGCUGCUCUGCCUCUUGGGAAACACAGGCACCAGUUUUAGUGCCAUCUUCUUGCACCCAAAUGCUGUCCUUUAACUCAUCAGUUACAGUGCUGGAUCCCUCAUCACUGCCAAUACGGGGCUAGCAAUAUGUCUGCCCCAGUGAAUGCAGCCGCCACGGAGCCCCAGCCUCCUCUAUGGCAGGGGCCCUGUGGUGGGGAAUGAGGACUUCUCUAUCAUUAACCUCCAUGCAGUUGGCUCAAGAAAAGGAUAUGGUAGUUGGGCAAGGGGGCUCACACCUGUAAUCCCAGCACACUUGUAAUCCCAGGAGGGUCGCUUGAGCCCAGGAGUUUAAGGCCAGCCCGGGCAACAUAGCAACCUGUUUGUAGGCAAAAUGAGGAGUUGAAGUUCCCCGUAGGAUCUUCUAGGGCUCAACCAGCCUUCAUGUGCAGUGGGACUGGCAAGAAAUCUGUCAUCCCUGUUACCACUUUGAAGGUCUCAGUGUGUAUGCAGGUCCUGAAAAGUUCAAGUCCCACCUGAAACGCAACACAGCAUCAUGCUCUGAUUCAUCAGUGAUUCCCUAAUCAAUGCCAUUGGCUUGCAUUGGGACUAUCUAUCCCAGCCUAUCCAGUGACUUCAGCAGCUGCAGAGCCCCAGCCUCUUCUUUGGCAGGGGCACUGUGGUGAGGAGGAAGGAUUCCCUUAUCACAAAUCUCCAUCCAAUUGGUUCUAUAAACAGAUAUGGUGGCCCAACUGUUGCGGGAAGUCAGGGACCCCGAACGGAGGGACUGGCUGGAGCCACAGCUGAGGAACAUAAAUUGUGAAGAUUUCAUGGACAUUUACCAGUUCCCAAAAUUAAUACUUUUAUACUUUCUUAUGCCUGUCUUUACUGCAAUCACUAAACAUAAAUUGUGAAGAUUUCAUGAACAUUUAUCAGUUCCCAAAUAAUACUCUUAUAAUUUCUUA
rnacentral:lncRNA from 10 species